rnacentral:lncRNA from 10 species
GGAUUACAAGAAACAAGCAAAAGAGAUGGAAAAGGAGAGUACAAGAUGAAAGAGAAAACCUGGGUAAUCUCACGGAAUCCAAAAGUAGCUAUCAGUUUUGGAGUCUCUGUCAAAGUCACAAUCUUUUUUUUAUUUUCCAUCACCCAAGUUUAUGGGACACAAAUACAAGAAUACAGCUCAGAAAAUGAUACCCGAACUUCUUCUGACCCCCUUUCUUUCAGCCUCAUUCUCCCCCAGAGGUUAACCACCAGAAACUAGAUUCCCUGUUCUCCAAGGCAGGUCAGAGAAACUAGAACUCCAUUUCUCCAAAGUCAGCCAUAAAACCUAAAAAUAUUACUCUAACUUCCUUCCACAUGUUUGUGUAAGAACUGGCCAUAAAGAAAUUCUCUGACCUACUGUGUCCGAUAGUAGGGUCAUAAGACCCCUGUUCCAGAAAGGGUCAUCUGACAUACCCCGUAGAAAUUAAUGCUGCACAGAGAGGUCAAGAAGAAUCUGAACAGAGAGGCCUUUCUAGCUUUCCCCGAUCAAUCUAUUUCCAUUAGCUCAUACACUUUUUGUCCAAUCACAUCUCUACAAGGCUGACA